rnacentral:lncRNA from 1 species
UUCAAUUGGUUAUCAUUGUGGUAGCUAGUAGGAAUCUUCACAUCAGGUGAUAUCUUUCCUUACCUUCUUCAUCUUUCUAUUUGUACCUUGAGUGGGGUGCCCAGGGAAACUAUGUGAUAGGAUUCUACAUAGGUGGGAAAGUUCUUGUGGGCUCAAGAACUUGGAGCAAUUGUAGAGUUCAAUUAUAUGUGAUGAUUGUAUGUAAACUUUAAGGUUUUCAGGAAUUUUGAGGGACCAGAUCCAAGACCAGUUCCCCGUGCUGAUAUUCUGGUUGGCAGGAUCAAGGUUGAGCCAACGUAGUGUUUUUCCUCCUAACAUCCAUAGGAACAGAAGUAGCUAGAGAGUGCCAUUGAAAAACACUAUCCAUAUAGAUAUCUUUCAGGCAAAGAUGGGAAUCCAAUAUGCAAGCAGUCUACAACUCCCCAAGGCAACCAUCAGGCAGGAAUUUAUCGAACCAGAACGAGAUAUUACCAUCUCCUGGUCUGAGUCUGAGGGGAAGCCUUAACUAUAGACGCCCACAAGUAUAAGAAACUGGGUUGUAACAAAUGGUUCACCUAAUUUCCUCUUUAAUAAUUGUGUUAAGGGGAUAAUUUCGGUUUUAAUUCUUCUUUUAAUUGAUCAGCGAGGGCUUUCAUCAAAAUAUUUUUUGUUUUAGCAAAGAUUUUAGAAUUUGCAAAGAAUUUCAAAGGGAAUCAAUUCGUCCCCCUCUUAGAUUCCAGUUUCCGACCUUUGCUCCAAC